rnacentral:lncRNA from 1 species
CUGUGUGAAACAACUUUUAUUGUGAUGUUACUUGUUAUUGUUUAAAUGUACAGAAACAAAGGGUUAAAAUGUGUUAAUAUACCUUGUUCCAUGGUGUUGUUCUUUUGGGGGGAGGGGGUUGCUAUUCAACAAUUAAUGGAAUCACAUUGCUGUUGGACCAGUAGUAUUUAUUGCUUUAGAGAUUGCUCGUCGAACCUGUACGUUGUCCCUUUUAAAAUAUGUUUUCCUUUUUCUUGAAACUGUAUAAAGUUUUUUUCCCCUUAGCAUAAGCAUCUUAUAUAUAACAACUCAUUUGUACAAGGUUUUUAAGUUUAUAUAUAAAAUGUGUAUAUAUAUAUUUUUUGUUUCCCUUUUGGACUCCCCUGUGAACUCACAGGCGAGCACCCUGCACCCUGAGGACAUGGACUGACCGUGUGCAAAACUUUUUAUGUGCCAAA